CACAUGCAGUCGAGCGGAACGAGUUAUCUGAACCUUCGGGGAACGAUAACGGCGUCGAGCGGCGGACGGGUGAGUAAUGCCUAGGAAAUUGCCCUGAUGUGGGGGAUAACCAUUGGAAACGAUGGCUAAUACCGCAUGAUGCCUACGGGCCAAAGAGGGGGACCUUCGGGCCUCUCGCGUCAGGAUAUGCCUAGGUGGGAUUAGCUAGUUGGUGAGGUAAGGGCUCACCAAGGCGACGAUCCCUAGCUGGUCUGAGAGGAUGAUCAGCCACACUGGAACUGAGACACGGUCCAGACUCCUACGGGAGGCAGCAGUGGGGAAUAUUGCACAAUGGGCGCAAGCCUGAUGCAGCCAUGCCGCGUGUAUGAAGAAGGCCUUCGGGUUGUAAAGUACUUUCAGUCGUGAGGAAGGCGGCGUCGUUAAUAGCGGCGUUGUUUGACGUUAGCGACAGAAGAAGCACCGGCUAACUCCGUGCCAGCAGCCGCGGUAAUACGGAGGGUGCGAGCGUUAAUCGGAAUUACUGGGCGUAAAGCGCAUGCAGGUGGUUUGUUAAGUCAGAUGUGAAAGCCCGGGGCUCAACCUCGGAAUAGCAUUUGAAACUGGCAGACUAGAGUACUGUAGAGGGGGGUAGAAUUUCAGGUGUAGCGGUGAAAUGCGUAGAGAUCUGAAGGAAUACCGGUGGCGAAGGCGGCCCCCUGGACAGAUACUGACACUCAGAUGCGAAAGCGUGGGGAGCAAACAGGAUUAGAUACCCUGGUAGUCCACGCCGUAAACGAUGUCUACUUGGAGGUUGUGGCCUUGAGCCGUGGCUUUCGGAGCUAACGCGUUAAGUAGACCGCCUGGGGAGUACGGUCGCAAGAUUAAAACUCAAAUGAAUUGACGGGGGCCCGCACAAGCGGUGGAGCAUGUGGUUUAAUUCGAUGCAACGCGAAGAACCUUACCUACUCUUGACAUCCAGAGAACUUUCCAGAGAUGGAUUGGUGCCUUCGGGAACUCUGAGACAGGUGCUGCAUGGCUGUCGUCAGCUCGUGUUGUGAAAUGUUGGGUUAAGUCCCGCAACGAGCGCAACCCUUAUCCUUGUUUGCCAGCGAGUAAUGUCGGGAACUCCAGGGA
rnacentral:rRNA from 1 species